UACGUAGGGUGCGAGCGUUGUCCGGAAUUAUUGGGCGUAAAGGGCUCGUAGGCGGUUUGUCACGUCGGGAGUGAAAACUCAGGGCUUAACCCUGAGCCUGCUUCCGAUACGGGCAGACUAGAGGUAUGCAGGGGAGAAUGGAAUUCCUGGUGUAGCGGUGAAAUGCGCAGAUAUCAGGAGGAACACCGAUGGCGAAGGCAGGUCUCUGGGCAUUAACUGACGCUGAGGAGCGAAAGCAUGGGGAGCGAACAGG
rnacentral:rRNA from 1 species